rnacentral:rRNA from 1 species
UACAGAGGUCUCAAGCGUUGUUCGGAUUCAUUGGGCGUAAAGGGUGUGUAGGUGGCGCCGUAAGUCGGGUGUGAAAUUUCGGAGCUUAACUCCGAAACUGCAUUCGAUACUGCGGUGCUUGAGGACUGGAGAGGAGACUGGAAUUCAUGGUGUAGCAGUGAAAUGCGUAGAUAUCUGGAGGAACACCGGUGGCGAAGGCGGCAUCCUGGACCAAUAUUGACGCUGAGGAGCGAAAGCCAGGGGAGCAAACGGG